rnacentral:rRNA from 1 species
CCCUUAGAUGUCCUGGGCCGCACGCGCGCUACACUGAGUGUCUGAGAUACGAGUCUGCCUGGUCCGGCAAGGUCUAGGUAAUCGCUAAAAGACACAUCAUGCUUGGGAUAGAUUAUUGCAAAUAUUAAUCUUGAACGAGGAAUUCCUAGUAAACGCAAAUCAUCAAUUUGCAUUGAUUACGUCCCUGCCCUUUGUACACACCGCCCGUCGCACCUACCGAUUGAAUGGUCCGGUGAAAUCUCGGGAUUGUGGCCAGUUCACUUUAUUGGGAGUUGGCUGCGAGAACUUGCUUAAACCUUAUCAUUUAGAGGAAGGUGAAGUCGUAACA